UUGGUUUAAUACCUGCAGCUAAUUCCAGAUGGCUUGCAUUUCAUUUGGAAACAAUUAAGGUUCUUUGCUUGGAUCAUAGCUGCAUGUUGUGGGAAGAUAUUGAAGUAGCCUCCUUCCCAACUGCAAUAAAUCUGCAAGUAAUCAAACUGGAUUCUUUAAAGUUUGCCAAUG